CUAAGUGCAGGAACUCUCACCUACUUUGUCUCACUUAGCCCUGACCGUGGUCCUAUGCAGCAGCUGUGAUCAUCCCCAUUUUAUAGAUGAAAGCGUGUCCUAGGUCUCUCCAGCAGGCAGCGCAGAACCAAGAUGAAGCCCAACAAUUAUUCAAGUUCUUCACUGCGAUCCCCCCUUCAGUAUAGGAUACUAAGUGCCAGAGGUUCUAUGCUGCCCUGGGCUGAUCACACCUGGACCACGAGGCUCAGCUCAGCCCCACGUUCUGAGGAGUACACUGUCACACUGGAGCAAGUCUAGAAGAGACCAGAUGCUGAGGACCUGGAUGCCAUGUUGUGUGGUGAAUGAGUUAACUAUCCUUGAGAAGCACUUAAUCCACCCAGGACCUGGCUCAUAUUAAACACAAAUUUGCUGACAAAAGGAUGUGAAAGAAUUCCACUCAGCUCAGGUGUGUGGACAUCCAGGAGGAGAACUUCAGCUUAUUAUAAAGAUCUCUAACAGUCAACACGAUCCA